rnacentral:lncRNA from 1 species
GAGCAACCUUCGAUCCGGCCUUCCCCGCGAGAGUCGCCUGACUCACUUCGCCUUCUGCGUCCGAGUUCCCUUCUUCUGCCCAGACGUACAUGGCCUCGUCGACAGAGGAGAGGUCGAGAACGAGUGAGAGGAGAGAGACGACGUCCAGGUAGAAAAACAAGUGGAAAAGGUAGUCUUUUUUGCCGAUGCAGCUGAGGAUAAUUUCGAGGCCGAAUGCGAUCAGAGCAAUGCUCGUGAAAGCGUCGAAAAUCGGGUCGGCGCUUCGCGGAGUGGCUAGGAGGCGAACGUCGUCUCCAAAAAGCGCGUAAAAAGUGAGAAGCAUGAGGGCGACUUCCACGAUUCGGUUGUCAAGAAUGCGACAGCACACGAGACGCACACGCGGCGGAACUCUAGGGCACACACACCGCCUUCGGGGCUUCUUCUCCUCGGGUGUACGUACAGUCGUCUCCUUCCCUUCAUGGUCUCCGCCCUUCUCCUUCUUUCGCGCUUCCCCUCCAAACGGGUGCCCCUUUCCCGGACGCCUCUUCAGGCCUCCGCCUUCUGCCUUGUCUUUCUCCAUGCUGGAGUCACAAAACCGCUACUUAAGCAGAACGGGAACCAGAGAGAUAGAAGCGAGAGACAGUUCCGGGAGACGUGCGGUGACCCAGCGAGUGAGCCGCAAAAGCGAUGCGAGAAGCGCAUGCAGAGGGGAGAGUCGGCAGUUGGAAUGAAGGGCGGAAAGCGUGAACUGCGAGAGAGCUGAAGAAACCCGAGAGCGAGUUAAACAGAACAGCGGGGCGAGAAGGACACCAGUCCAAGAGAGGGGAACAGCGGGCGAGGCACAGGGCGAUGAGACAGGAGAAGGAAAUCGAGUCCCUUCGACUCGCCGCUGGAAAAAGGAAGGGUGACCAAAGGAGAAGCGUGAAAGCCGGGGAAUCCCGAAGGAAAGACGGCGGCCUCUUCUUGACGGAGUAAGUGAUUUGUCUCUCUCUGUCACAAAGAGGCAGAAAACCUGAGGAAAAGGAACGGAAGUAGACGGACGGUUCAGCUGAGUCCCGGAUGAGCUCACAGGCAAACGUUCCCGGAAAGGAAAAAUUAGGAGACCGGCCUUGGACGAGAAACAGAGCGAGCAAGUGAAACCAGGUCGCCGGUGUUGGGUGCGACGGCCUCGACUUCCAGUGUACGUACACCUAAAAGUCGAAAAGCAGAGGAGACCAUCGUCUCGAAAAAGACCGUCAAAAAGGAGAUCCUGAAGUGUCCGUAACAGCGGUUCGGUUCACCGCGGCGAUCAGUGGUGACAUUUCUACGAACGAGGAAAUUCUCCUUGUGUCUUCCACGAUAAGGAGAGGGCGAGUCAGAAGGGUAGCAUAGUGCAUAGAGGUCUCUAGAGAGAUACAAUGUAUGUUCCUCAUUCAAGAGAGACGAAAACAGGGUCGUGCUAGUUUGUCGUGCUCAGACAAGAGGAUUUGCCAGAGCGGAUUGAGCUUGUCAGGUUAACAAGGGGGGGGGGGGAGGGGUUGGGAGGGAGACGCAGAGGAGUUUUAAUUCAGACCCAGAAAGAACGACGGACGGAAGCAUGUUCUUUACUGUUGUGAUGGAAGGUCUGCUGGCUGAGUAAAAACUGGUGACAAGGAUGAGAUGGAGAGGAAGGAAGCAACAGGAGCGAAAGAACCUUUCCCGAUGAAGCUGCAAGGUGGGUGAGCUAAUAGGAAAUCGGUCCUGCAAGAAUGAGGGGCGAUUUGUCGGAAGGGUUGUCAUGAAAGGCACUUGAAAGUAGAUCAGCACACACAGACGCAAGAGACACGUGCGAAGAAGAGGGACGAGAGAGAAGCGUCGUGAGAGGCUGAGGAAACCAAGAUGGGACCGGUGUGACGGGCGGAGGAUGCGUUGCGAACCGAAGGCAGGGAAGAGCGAGGAAGAAAGGCAGUCCAGAAACGCAGAAGAAAAUGGGGGUGUAGGAAGACAAACGGCCAAGAUAUGUACAAGCCGGAGACGUCGCCGGAAGAGAUCAGGUCUACGAGGAAGAAGGCUGGCUAGCGCGGGGGGGUCCAGUGGUUUUUCCCUUUAACGAACAAAGGGACGGUUGGAUUAAGGACGAAGCAGAUCCGCGGCUAGAGGAUCCCUUUUUCCCCUUUUCUUCCAUUUUUAGGGAGCGUUCCUUCGUUUGAAAAUCGGAGCCGCGACAGAGCCGAGCGAACGAUCUUGUGCGGGUGUGCAUAAAGGUGAGGCACGCCUGCACACUGUCAUCGGGCGCGCCUGAAUGCCAGCGAAAAUGCCUGAUUUUUAGGGGUGCUGGAAGGAAACAAGGUCUUCGGGGAAAAAGCGAGCCCUAAUCAUUUGCGCUAUAAAACGUUUAGACAGAUUUACGUGUACGGGUGAAGAGAUUGUGUGUGUAGGCGAGUAUCUUAUUGAGCUGAAGAGCUGUUUGCAAGGUGCGCGUGUGCGGCCCUCGGGGUGAAGACAACAGCUCGUAGGGCAGUGGCAGGGCCCUCUGAGAGGACCGACGAGGAAGGCAAAGACAGGAAGGAUGGAACGGAAGCAGAGAAUUAAGGACGUCUGCAACAGUUCACCGAAUGCUCCCUAACUGAAAAGGAGAGAGGAAACGCCGAGAGUGGCUGCGAAACGCAAUGAGGGAAAAGAAGCGCAUCUACCGGGGUGGGCAUUCUGUGGGGGUCGCGCGUGGGCGCGGCGGGCACGGAGAAACGAAAAGGACGGCUUUUUCAUGGAAUUGCGUUUCCCCUUCCUUUUCUGCUCCUCUAUGUCAUUCGCGCCAAUGUCUUGCAGUUAGUUGCUCAGUUCCGGUGCAGAAAUAAGCCACAUUUCCGUCGGGUUUUCUUGCACGCGUUGCAGCUAUACACAUGAACAAGACACUCUCGCGCGGAAAACGAGACGGCCAACCCGCCACUGUCCCUCGCGACCGCUCAUUCUUGUCUCUUCUCUGUCACCCUUAUAUUUCCCUCUUCUUUCUUUCUCGCGGGGUUGAUCCUCGAUUCCCUCGUCUUGUUUCUCUCUGCAUUCGCCGAAUUCGUGCCGAGGGGAUGCACGGCAGCGCUGAGCUACCGGCAGAAAGAAAGCCAGUGUGUACUUUCCAGUGUGUGGCCCCGGCGACGCUCUUGAGCUGCAAGGGAAAAAUCGGCUGCUUUCUUCCAUUCUAGCUGGGAAAACAGAAAUCACUUCUCAGUUUAGAGACACUAGGCCAUAAACACGCGGUUUUCAGGCGACCUGCGACGAUAAAUGGAGGUGGGUGAUCCGAGGUUUUCUUUGGACAGCGUGGCGAGGGUGACUCACCUGGAAGGCAUCUGUGCCGGAAGAAAAACGCGGGCCUCGCGAAACAAGAAAAUUGAUCUAUUGAAGUGCUGAACACGUCUGUUUUCCCUGUCUAAAGGGAAGCGAGAGGGCCCCCACAAACUACAGAGUAGACGCAAAACGUGAUAUACCGUACCGGAUUUCCCCGGUUCUGUGAGUCCCGCGCAGCAGUUUUCUGUGGAACCUUCCUCGGUUCUCUUGAAGGUUGAUGCGAACUAUAGGGGAGCAGAAGCGGGCUCUUCCUCGUGCUUUUCGUGUGGCAAGGAUGGUAUCAUUCACUCUGUUGAGUCGGAUCGGAGAAAACACAGACAGUCGGUGGAGUUUGCCGCGCUUUCCUGCGGCUCCUUGCGCAAUACGCAAGUCCUCGGCGCCUUCGAAGGCUCAUCCCACCUUUCCAGUUGAAAGAGCGGAACUUGGAAUGAUCUCUCGAAGUCGUGCUCGGCUAGAUAGUCGGUAAUUUGCCGAUAAAGGUGAAGUCUUUGUGUAUGCUCGGGUCACGGGUGCCCGCGCUCCUUCGCGAACAUCAGACCCGCGCAACUCUCGGCGAAAAAAAAGUCCAUCGUGGUCGUCUUGGAUUUUUUACUCUGACAGUUAAAUUGUACCUGGCGCCACGAGACCAUGUCGACGUCUUGCUGUCGGGAUGAUUCGUCAUUAUGGUUGUGUAGUUUUCUCCUCUCGAUCCGCCCGUUCGUACUGGCCCAACGCGUUUGUGAUUCCACAUGCUUUCCGUCAUUUUUUCCAGGAAGCCCACAUUUUUCUGUACCUGGACUUCCAACUCACGUCCCCUUUUCCAUCUGUAGUUCAUGGUUUAAAGGGCUUUUCGUGUAGCUUUACACCGGAGCAGAUAAUUCGUACCCCCCAACCGUUAGGGAGGGAUGCGUUACAAUGGAUUUGUGGCAACAGGC